GUUUCAUUGCUUUUGAGCUUGUGGUA
rnacentral:piRNA from 2 species